rnacentral:rRNA from 1 species
UACGGGGGGGUGCGAGCGUUGUCCGGAAUCACUGGGCGUAAAGGGCGCGUAGGUGGUUUGAUAAGGGUGUGGUGAAAGUCCGGGGCUCAACCCCGGAUCUGCCGUGCCGACUGUCAAACUCGAGGGCUGUAGAGGCAGACGGAAUUCCGGGUGUAGCGGUGGAAUGCGUAGAGAUGUGGAGGAACACCGAUGGCGAAGGCAGCCCCCUGGGUCAAGAUUGGACGCUCAUGCACGAAAGCGUGGGGAGCAAACAGG